GCCCUCGUGGUGAAACGGAUAUCACAACAGGCUUCGGACCUGUUGUUGUAGGUUCGAAUCCUACCGGGGGCA
rfam:Candidatus Buchananbacteria bacterium RIFCSPHIGHO2_01_FTLL_39_14 rifcsphigho2_01_scaffold_12971, whole genome shotgun sequence.